GGUAUCCCUCCACAAGCCACUAUUUAAUGAACCUGAGGCCUCAUUUCUAGGACCAAAGAGGAUUGGGAAACCUGGAGCUCGAUAAUGCUGUUUUGUUUCAUUAAAUGUUCUCACUGUCUGUGUGGAAAUAAAUGUGACUUGUCCCUGACAGAUGAUAAAAGGCAGCAGACAUCAUUAGUGUCCAUCACAUGACUCCUGACACCUACUGGAGAGAGGGCCUCUGUUUGCUCAUGAUCAGAGAGAAAGUGUUGAGAAAAAUGUGAAUUGGAGAAAUUAGUCUCUAUUAUUUCAUGGGAAUGUGUCUUCAGAUGGGUGUUUCCCUUAAAACAUGGCUUCUUUUUAAGAAACUGAACUAUAUUUUAGUUGUUUCAGAAGAUAUUUCUCAACAUUUACUCCAAGAAUCAACCUACAAAAACUUUCUAUAUGUACCCAUGCAUCUGGAUAAAAUGGAGAUGACCCCCUGAGCGAUGCUGGAAAUAAUCUAAUGAGGAUGGCAGAGCCUGUGACAUCCUGGAUUCUGAAUGGCUACGCAAAGGAAACUCACUCAACCAACUUGUUUUUGCUCUUUCACACCGCUGUGAGAACAAGAAAUAACUUGUAGCAUUUGAGCCUUUAUAUACUUUAUAUUUAUCUGUUACAGUAGGUAGUAUCACCCUAACGUAAGUAUGUAUAGAUGUCUCCAUAUAAAUUAUUAAACUGUAAUUUUCCUAAAGCAUUAUUAAGGUUCUCAAAUGCCAAAUAUCUUUGAAAUCUGUUCAGUUCAAACUGUAUUGUUUAUUUAUAUAUGUGGUCACACAGAGCAAUCCUAACAAUGAUACCACCU